UGACAUUUCAGAUAACUGCCAAACAGAAAGGCUAAAAACGCGACUGUCAUUGAGUCAGUUCUCGCUCUGCGUGCAUCUACUGUUGUUUUAGACUUUCAUUUUCGUUGGCACGGAAAACUUUUAACGAGUCCGGAAAUCGUCGUUCUGCGUGCAUCAAGAUAAAGUAUUUACGGUUGUGUUUGCAUACAAAGAUGUGCGGCGGCUUUACGUGCUCCAAGAAUGCGCUCAUAGCGCUCAACAUCCUUUACGUGCUCGUGGGAUUUCUUUUAAUUGGCGUCGGAGUCUACGGAAGGGCUGCAUCGAUCGUAACGAACUUGCCCAUCAUUGGAGGCAUUUUGGCCUGCGGAAUAAUCCUGAUCCUGAUCUCGAUGCUGGGACUGGCAGGAGCUAUUAAACAUCACCAGGUCAUGCUGUUUUUCUACAUGAUCAUCUUAUUCCUGCUUUUCCUCAUCCAAUUUUCCAUUGCUUGCUCCUGCCUUGCCGUAAACUCUGAGCAACAAAAGCAUUUCGCUGAGGAAGGUUGGAAUCGUGUUCCCGUUGACAUAAAGAAAGAAGUACAAGAUACAUUCCUAUGUUGUGGCUUCAACUCUACAACUACCGAUGACCAUCCAUCUUGCGAAAUUGUUAAUCGUUCCUGUUGUUUCGAUUCAAAAAUAAAUGAAUGUUCGUGUAUGCCAUGCUUGCCUGUUCUGGAAGACAAAAUCAACUAUGCUUUUAAAUUGUGCGGCGGAAUCGGGUUGUUCUUCAGUUUCACGGAGUUUGUUGGUGUUUGGCUAACAGUUCGUUAUCGUAAUCAGAAAGAUCCACGUGGACUUCCAAGUGCUUUUCUUUAAGCCCAGUGUCUUAAAGAAAACGUUUGUUAUAACAUAAUUUUUAAGUCUAACGGUGAUGAUAUGCUUUUUUGUAUGAAUGGAAGUGGAAUCUGACGUAGUCUUUAAAACCUAACAUCUUAUUUAACUCAUACUACCAUUGAACGAACACACACAUCGCUAACUGAAUGGAAAUAUUCAUUUUGGAUCAUUUCAUAAUAUCAGGGUUGUGGUUCUUGCUGUUUUUCUAACAUGGCGUUAUCGUAAUCAACAAAAUCCUUAUUAUGAUUUACCAGCCCGUGCAAUUUUUCCACGAAACUACCGAUAUUAGAUCUUCAACGGAAUCGAAUACUUCGCAAUUUCAUAGUCAAACGUCCAAGGCUGAUUUUUUUGCAUACAUUAAUUUUACCAUAUUUUGUAAGUAGUUACAAUCGAACAAUUUUGUUUACUAUUUUCUUAGUGUGACUUACUUUAUUUUUAUAACUAAAACAAUUGGGACAAUAUGAAGGUGUUGUUUCGUAAUUUUCGGUCAUAAUUUUCUAAGGCAGGACAUGCAUUGAAUAGUUACAAAUUCAAUGGUACAAAUGAAAACUCGAAAAAAUCUUUGCAAUAAGCUUAUUCGAACUUUGAGUAACUUAAGAAGUUUCCUGUUGAAAAGUGUCUUUAAUCGAAUUCUAGGUUCCAAUCAGGGCUACUGAAUAGAACAUACCAAAGAGUUCCCAACUUGCGUUUAUAAUUCCAUUCUGCAUCGCCACAUCCGAGAAAUCGUCGUCUUAAACUACAUAAGAUCUACUGCCUUACUAGUCGUAAACAUACAAUUCAGCCUUUACGGCAGCACUCGAACAAAGCUUGUCCUUGCUUGUAGAAUCUCGGCGAGAUUGGGUUUUUAAUUAUCUCCCUAAAUUCCAAUUGCUCGGUGUUAAGAAAUUUUUAUUGACUUUGAUUCACUACUCCUGACGACCUGAUUUCUUGCGAGCAAUUAUGGGAAUGGUUCCAAUAUCCUCCACACCAUCUCACUAUAUUCCUGAAAACUAUAAUACGCCAUUCUAGGAAACAAUUUUACAUAACUGCAAUGCCUGAUAAAAUCAUUACGUAUAUACAAAAAUGAGCUUAUUUUUUCCUUAUACCAUUUGAAUCUCUUCAAAUAAGUCUACAUAACUAAAUAUACAUAUUUACCAGUUGCAAUAAAAAUAGCCGCAUAUAUAAAUUUCUUCCUACAUACUUAUACAUACACGGAUACUAAUUACCUAUAUCCAUAUAAUUUUACUUGUAUUUAUUCGAAUAGUAAGUUUUACAUUUUUUUCGGUUGUGCUUUCGAAUGUAACAGUUUUUUGCUCAACAGUUCAACAACAAUCUGAAAAAAUAAAAUAUGUAAGUCUUACAAAUGUAAAAUGUAAAGAAUUGUAUAUUUAAAAAUAAUAUUGCUGUGAUUGUUUAUUGCGAACAGGUUAUUGAAUUAAAAUAAAGUAGAACUAUUAGGAUAU